rnacentral:lncRNA from 1 species
UCUCCUGAGAGGUUCUACCACUGCUUGACAAAUACAGAGGUUCAAUUCCACCAAACGUUGGUGAAUGAUGGCCCAAUCAGCCUGUACUUCCUUGCUCUCCUGCUGCAAUGUCAUCGACUUCUUCUUUAUAAGAUUCUCCUCCAUCAGGAGCCGGCUGUGCAGGUUACUGUAAGGACACUCUGCAUGAUGUGGCUCAAAGGGAAGAUGUGAGGACACCUUGGGUUCCUCUGAAUGGACAGAGUGAUAUGAAAUGGGCACUGACCAGGCUGAGAAACACUGCUGAGGCCCAUAUUCCAG